rnacentral:lncRNA from 1 species
AUCUAUAUCCAUUCAGAAAAAUCAGAUGGACCCUUUCGGGAUUCAGAUAACAAAUUAUUACCAGCUGCCACCCUUACAUCAGAACAUUCAAAGGGAGCCUCUUCAUUUGCUGUUACUGCUCUUAUGGAAGAAAAGUGUGGCCAGGCGCCAGUCCUUGAAACUCCACCUUUGUUGGGACAGUCAUUAUUACACGAACAGUUUAUCCCCACAACUGGUCCAGUAAGAAUAAAUGCUGCUCUUCCAGGUGGUGGUCAACAAGGUUGGGAACAUUCCAACAAGCAUGGGUACCUAGUUUGCCCACCACAGAAAAUUAGAAGAGAACAAAGAAGCUGUUACAGAGGAAUAAAACGCUGGCAACACUACAGCAGACCAUCACAGAGGAGUCAAGGCCCGUCACGACCAGCAACUCCAGUCUUUUUGCCUGUUCCACCACCUCCUAUGCAACCUCUUCCUCUUCCUCUAGGUAUACCUCCCCCACAGUUUCCUCCUCAGUUUCCUCCUGGCUAGCCUCCACCAGCAGGAUAUAGUGCCCCUCCUCCAGGGAUCCCACCAGCUCCUGCCAAUAUAUCAACAGCUUGGGUUUCCUCAGUAGUGCAGACUGCCCAUUCAAAUACUAUCCCUAUAACACCAGCACUUCCUUUGUCCAAGGAAGAAUUCUUUAGAGAGCAACAACUACUAAAGGAAGCGUCUAAAUUUCCCUACAGUGGGUCAUCGUAUUCCAGAAAUUCAUACACUGACUCAAAGUCAAGGUCUGGCUCAACACAGUCACACUCUUACUCUAAGUUCUUCAGCAGCUCACACUCUCGCUCUUCUUCACGAUCAUCCCCAUCCUCCAGGAGAGGCAGAGGCAAGAUCUGCAAUGACCAUUCAUGGUCC